CGACGCUCGCUGGGUCUGAGAGGUCGGAGGCUGCAGUGGGCCUGGCUGGAUCGCGGAUUGGGGCUAGAAAGCAGAUUUGGGAUGUAGAUGAGGGGUGGGAGGAGCCGCGGCUCAGGAGCUGGCUGUUGGGCAUCUGAGAAGUCACCACCUUGAAGAAGUUCCUCCGCUUCGGAGCCAGGGACCAAGGCGGAGCAGAACCUCAGGUCCUGGGCUCCAUAGACCCCGUCUACACCGCUUCCAGGCACCGAAUCCGGGACGCGGAACCACGGAAGAUCCACAGGGCGGCUGUCAGAGGCGACGCCGUCGGGGAGGAGCUGCCUGGCGCGCAGGAGCGGAGACCUGGACACCAGGGACAAGCCGUACAGGUAGCGGGGCUCAGCCCGGGUGAGAGGGUUCCCGAGGCCUGGCUUCCCCCUGGGACUGGGCCUUGGAGGGCGCCAGGCACCCUCGGAGCAGCGGAGCCAAAUGAGCCUCAGCUGCCUUUAUCCCUCCUAACAACCCAGCUGGAGCACCUGGUGGAGAAGAUCCUGGGAGUUCUGACGCAUCUGCAGACAGCAUUCCUUUUAGCUACAAUAGAACAGAAGCAAGUAUUUGCCACUGGGAAAAAAUAUUCAAAGACAGGAAGAAUGUAAACAGAAUUUGUGACCACAAUCAUUCAAUGUUUCAUCACAAUGCUUUCUAAUACAAAAGAGUUUAAAGGGAUAGUCAAAGUUAUUCCCCCAAAGAUGCUUUCUGAUGGAAUUAGAGAAAUAAAAGUGGCAGGACGUUCAAUGUGACUGUAGAUGCCACUGUGUCUUAUGGGAAAAAAUAAUUUACCUUUUAGAAGAUCAAAAAGAAUUCCUGGAAGCCCAGACUCUGGAAUGUUUCUAAAUUUAGAUGUCAAUAUAACUAGUAAUGAAUAUGAUAAAAAGGGAUCUGGGCUUUGUAUAAUAAAAUACCAAGGCAGUA